AUGACUCUGAUCUGCGUCCUCAUCUGGACUCUCCUCUGCUGCUGCUUCACAGAGUCCAGAGGUCAGGUCACAGUGACUCAGCCUGGAUCAGUGACUUCUGCUCUGGGAGGCUCCGUCACCAUCAGCUGUAAAACCAGUCACAAUAUUUACUCCAACUGUUUAGCCUGGUACCAACAGAGAGAUGGAGGAACUCCUAAACUGCUCAUUUAUUAUACUAGCACCAGACAAUCAGGAACACCAAGUCGUUUUACAGGCAGUGGAUCAAACUCUGACUUCAGUCUGACCAUCAGUGGAGUUCAGGCUGAAGAUGCAGCAGUUUAUUACUGUCAGAGUCUUCAUGUCAUCAACAGUCAGAAUGUGUUCACACAGUGA